rnacentral:rRNA from 1 species
UACGUAGGGCGCAAGCGUUGUCCGGAAUUAUUGGGCGUAAAGAGCUCGUAGGCGGCUUGUCACGUCGGGGGUGAAAGCCCGGGGCUUAACCCCGGGUCUGCAUUCGAUACGGGCUAGCUAGAGUGUGGUAGGGGAGAUCGGAAUUCCUGGUGUAGCGGUGAAAUGCGCAGAUAUCAGGAGGAACACCGGUGGCGAAGGCGGAUCUCUGGGCCAUUACUGACGCUGAGGAGCGAAAGCGUGGGGAGCGAACAGG